UCGGCAGCAUGGCUUGCUCUGGGGUGGAGCGUGAAAGCCUUCCCAGGAGACUCGUGAUGAUUUCUAAACAGCUGCAUUCCCAGGAGGAUUAGGUGCUCAGCUCCAGGUUUGGGGGACAGACCUGUCUGUUAAGGACGAAUGAUGCUUUUGACAUUUUUAGAUGCUAUUUUUCAAGGCUGUGAAAGCACAGGAUGGUUUUGACCCCUGGCCUCCCUCCUCCUGGUCAACGUACUUCCUGGCACCAAGCAACCCAGAUUGGCUUUGAAUUUGGGUUCCCCCUGCCUCAGCCUUCAACCAGGGCUAGAAUCACAGAAUAGUUAGGUCAACACUUCACCUGGCAUCCAACUCGGGACACGAAAUCACGAGACAGCUGCUGCCCCUGGCUUUGCGGCAGCCGCUGGAGCCACCAGAGCUGCUACCACUGAAGCCACUGCCACUGGAGCCGCCACCGGCAGCUGACUUUGCCUUUUCCUGCACCGUGCCCUCUGAGCAAGUCUGGGAUUUUCCUGUUGCAGCCUCUCUACACGAGCUUCUAGCUGCUGCCCAGACUGCACAGGCCCCAAACUCUACAGGUGCCUGGGCUCCAAGUAAACGUACCCACUCAUGA